rnacentral:rRNA from 1 species
CAGGAUGAACGCUAGCUACAGGCUUAACACAUGCAAGUCGAGGGGCAGCAUGGGAUUAGCUGCUAAUCCUGAUGGCGACCGGCGCACGGGUGAGUAACGCGUAUCCAACCUCCCCUUACUCAGGGAUAGCCCGGUGAAAACCGGAUUAACACCUGAUGGUUUCAUUAGAUGGCAUCUGACGAUGAAUAAAGGCUACGGUAGGGGAUGGGGAUGCGUCUGAUUAGCUUGUGGCGGGGUAACGGCCCACCAAGGCUACGAUCAGUAGGGGUUCUGAGAGGAAGGUCCCCCACAUUGGAACUGAGACACGGUCCAAACUCCUACGGGAGGCAGCAGUGAGGAAUAUUGGUCAAUGGGCGAGAGCCUGAACCAGCCAAGUAGCGUGCAAGGAUGACGGCCCUAUGGGUUGUAAACUGCUUUUGUACGGGAAUAAAGUCAUCCACGUGUGGAUGUUUGCAUGUACCGUAAGAAUAAGGACCGGCUAAUUCCGUGCCAGCAGCCGC